CAGCAACAUCAAACGUAAACAACUGAUUAUUUAGGAAAAAAAAAUUGUAUAUCCGUGCCGUAUUCGUCAUCGUUUUGGUUGAACUAUAUUGGUUAGGUAGUUUUAAGUAAAACAACUUUAACUUGGUGUUCUAUAAACACUUUUUGCGCGUUUUGUGUUGUGGUAACUUAAGGAGCAAUAAAUUGAUUUGGUCGCAUUAUCUCUCUGGUCCCCAUUACGCGAAUUAGCCAGAACAGCUGCUUGCAAAACUUGUUCCGCUUGCGGGUCGGUUGCAGCAAAAUGAUACACAGUUUGUUUAUCGUAAACAGUAGCGGCGAUGUGUUUUUGGAGAAACAUUGGCGCAGUGUUGUAUCACGCACCUGUGUGUCCUACUUUCUCGAUGUUCAUCGGGAAUCAGCCAAUAACGUACCACCAGUGCUUUCCACUCCCCAUCAUUACCUGGUUUCAAUUCAACGCAAUGGAAUCUCGCUUGUAGCCGCCUGUAAGCAGGAGUUUCCACCACUGUUUGUGAUUGAAUUCCUACACCGUGUAGUGGACACUUUCGAGGACUACUUUUCCGAAUGUAAUGAAAAUGUCAUCAAGGAAAACUACGUGAUCGUGUACGAGCUGUUGGACGAGAUGCUAGAUAACGGGUUCCCACUCGCAACGGAGUGCAACAUAUUAAAAGAGCUUAUCAAACCACCGAAUAUUUUGCGCACGAUUGCCAACUCUGUCACGGGGAAAUCCAACAUCAGCGGCACACUUCCUUCCGGUCAAUUGUCGACAAUACCAUGGCGACGCACCGGUGUCAAGUACACGAACAACGAGGCGUAUUUCGACGUUGUGGAAGAAGUCGAUGCUAUUAUAGAUAAGAAUGGGCAAACUAUCUUCGCCGAAAUUCAGGGCUAUAUUGACUGUUGUAUAAAGCUCAGCGGUAUGCCAGAUCUGUCCCUUUCGUUCAUGAAUCCACGUCUCUUCGACGAUGUAUCAUUCCAUCCGUGCGUCCGUUUCAAACGCUGGGAAUCGGAGCGAAUCUUGUCAUUCGUACCACCCGACGGUAACUUUCGACUAAUGUCAUAUCACGUCGGUUCCCAGAACAUUGUCGCCAUUCCCAUCUACGUUCGUCACAAUCUUGUGCUUAAAUCUGGCGAACAGUCCCGGCUGGACAUUACCGUUGGACCGAAAACGACAAUGGGACGGUCGGUGGAAGGUGUAAAGCUGGACAUUUGCAUGCCCAAAGCAGUGACAAACUGCUCGUUGGUAGUAAAUCAGGGCAAGUACACAUACGACACGGUGAACAAGAUUCUUCACUGGGACGUUGGCCGGAUCGAUGCGGCGAAGCUGCCAAAUAUUCGUGGAACGGUUUCUGUUGCGUCCACUAACUCUACUCUCGAAACCACAAUUGACAGAGUACACUUCACCAUCUCACAGAUGGCAGUUUCCGGGCUGAAGGUGAAUCGGUUGGACAUGUACGGCGAAAAGUACAAACCCUUCAAAGGUGUAAAGUAUGUGACGAAGGCAGGCAAAUUCCAAAUACGCAUGUAAGCCUGCGCUGUUGUCUUGCUUUAAGCAAAACCUUCUAAUUAAGGCUCAGCGACGAAACAAUGAAACCGAAACCAGUAACAGUGGAGAUCAGCUGCUAUGCAAGGAAGGUAAAACAUUUCCCGGACGAAACAAAGCGGACGAUCGUUAGAGAUGUUGUCGUUUGAAAUAUCAUAAUGAUCGCACGACAAUGUAUGCUGCGCAGUGAUCUCCACAACUUCAUCAUGCGUUUUCCCCAGUUUUCUUCGCCUGUUUUCACUGUUCCAAUCAUUUCUCGGAAAAGGUAAUAAAUGAGCUUUAAAUAUGACUCACUUUGUGCCUGCUGGUUCGGCAGCAUGCAGCGGAUUGAUUGAUUUUCGGAAAACUCGUUCAUUUCCACCCUUGAAGGUAGGGUUUUCGGUUGUGAUAGUUUUAUGUUUUUUGGAAAUUUUUGAGCAUAUCAGAAGAAUCGAACUCUGGUCAGCAUACGAGAGAAACACUAAGCAUAAUCUGCAAACGACAAACGGAACGAAACCUGUGUGACGCAAAGUCACUCGUGUAACGUCAUAUCAUUCGCUCCUGAAAAUUAACAUGCCAUCAACAAUUAGUUGCGACCGUGUCCAUGUUCCGCCGAGAUGUCAUUCCACAACCCAGAUUAGUUCGCCGGUACAAAACACGAUCAUCGUUUGCCAGAUGUUUUUUCCGCCCCGCAGCAACUUGUGGCUACAUCAAUCCUUCGUGCUCAUGUACCGAAGUUGUAAAUUAUUGCUCGUUACUAUCAUCACCGUUGCGGUUGUAGGCACAUUUUACCAGAAACAUUGUCCUACAACCGGGUACGAUUGGAAUGUUUAGUAUCAAAAGAAAAUACUUUGAUUUUGUGUAGAAGUUUUUUUAUGUCAACUGUUCACUUGACGUUACAAGGACAUAUUUUUUUUAAAUGAAAUUAAUAAUUAUAAUGGCGGCAUGGGUUAAAUUGGAUCUACAUUUUCAUCCUAAUGGUGUGACUUUUUAUUAACUAAUUCUCAUAAUUGGACUGAAAUUAACCACCACUGGAAAUUGACCACUCUUGGUGCUGCGUUAAUCUUGAACCUGCAGCUGUAAAUUAUUCACAUGCUGUGUUCGUCUUUUGUGUAAAUAAAUUUGUGAUUAAUACAGAGUUUUUU